AGUUCAUGGACCGAUCGCGGUGGGUCGAACCAAGAUCUGGAGUUUUUUUCGAGGGAUAUUGAUGAGGUCACCUCGCAUUUAAUGAGUCGAAAUGAUUCAGACAUUCCAAUCCAAUCCAAUCUCACGUUAUCGUGAGGCGCGGACUCGCGUGAAGCUGUUGGUUGGAAGUUUUUCAUUGCUCAACGUUAAUGGAGAUGAUGAUGAUGAUGCACGAAACAAACGCUCACUCCAAUUAAUUCUCUAGUUUCUACUCACUUUCCAUAUCAGAUUAUCAAUAGGUCUAGUUGGUGAUCCAACUAAUCUUGGUAACUUGUUUGAGAUGUUAAUGGCUGGAGUGAUUAAAAGCUGCUUUUAAACGUUUAAUCUGGAAGAGUUGAGUAGAGAAGAAGAUUCAGUUCGUCAUGGCUAUUCAUGGAUGAGAAUUGAGAGGCAAGAGGAUCGCUCUUGAGUUCAGGUUCGUUCUUGUUGUGUUUCUAGAUCUCUUUUUCUCGCUGUUGCAUCCCCGCGCCAAUGACUAGUUGAUCUCACUGUCUGGUUUUGAUGUGUUUUAGAACAGGCAUUCUUUAUAUUUGAGUAGUUCUCCCUCCAUUUGAACUAUGGAGCUCAUUAGUACGUAACCAUUCUCUUCAUAAUUUUUGGAACAAAGCUCUUACAAUUGAUGAGAAGAAGAAGAUACCACUGGCAUUGAAUCAACCAUAGCCACUACAGUGAAACGAGAAUCUCGAAGAUUUAUAUACAGAAGUCAAUAAGGAUUGGAGAAGGAUGAAUUUUUGUUUUUUUUUUUUUUUUUUUUUUUUUUUUCUGAUUAACACUUUUAGGUUAUUUAUUUAUUUAUUUGCUUAAUAGUGAAUUUUACUGCAUAAGAAACACAACAACCUGCUAUGCAGGAAUAAUACACAUAUAUACUCACUAGGUGAAACCACAAGACUCGAUAUGUGGAUCUAGCAGCUCUUCUCUUACCAACUGAUCUAACAAUACUUGAGCAGGCUGAUAUAUCCAGCUAAUGGAGUAAGAUCCAUGUUCCUGAAGGUACAGAAAGAUCUUGCACAUUUAGCGAGUCAUGCUUCCAUGGAAGUAAGACUCAAAUCUCUCAGUAACGGAGGCCCCUUCACUGCCUACAAUCAAAUGGGGUUAAUCUAAAGAAGGCAAGAUUUUGAGAAAAAAUAAAUAAAUAACAGCGUUUUGGCUCUCUUUGAUGGAACUUGUGACAUCUAGGCAUUCUGUUUUGGCUCAGAAAGUCACCCUGUGAAUUGUACUCUGAAGUCCCUCCCGCAACAGCUGACACAGAUUUGCUUAAUGAGCUUCCGUCGAAGUUAAGCUUUCAGCAUAAUCAUGUAGAGGUUGGGGGAGAACCAAAUUUUAUCUAUUUGUUGCACAGUCUGCUCAGGAUCUUGGCAAAACCUAUCACAUCGCAUGGUCAUUGGUGCUCAGUAAAUCAGUAUCCCCUUCUUUGAAUUUUCUCUCAAUCCAAAGAAGAAGAGGAAGAAGAAAAAGACCAACUUGUUAUUGGAUUGUUUUUGCAUCUCUGCUAAAUUGAAAUUUCAUUUCAAUGGAGAAGGGGUUCUUUGCAAUUAGCUUGCUUUUGCUUACAUGUGCUCAGAGUAUCCGUUCAGAGGAGCGGCUUCUAGUAAACAUGACCCUGGUUAAAAAUGCAGCAGUUCAAGGGGCAGUGUGCUUGGAUGGAAGCUUGCCUGCCUAUCAUCUUCACCCAGGGUUUGGAUCUGGAGCACAUAACUGGCUUUUACAGUUUGAGGGAGGUGGGUGGUGUAAUGAUGUAGCGUCAUGCUUAGAGAGAGCGAAAACUCGACGAGGAUCUACAAGGUUCAUGAAUAAAUGGGAGGUAUUCUCGGGAAUCCUCAGCAACAACAUGUCACUAAAUCCUGAUUUCUACAAUUGGAAUCGGGUGAAGCUUCGGUACUGUGAUGGAGCUUCCUUUGCUGGUGAUGGGAAGUUUGACAAUGGAACAAAUUCACUUUACUUUAGAGGACAAAGGAUUUGGAAGGCCAUCAUUCUUGAUCUUCUCUCUCGAGGCUUGAACCAAGCAGAUAAGGCUUUGCUAUCAGGUUGCUCUGCAGGGGGUCUAGCAACCUUUCUGCACUGUGACAACUUCACCCAAUUCCUACCUAAGACUGCCAGUGUUAAAUGCUUAAGUGACGGUGGAUUUUUCCUUGAUGCAAAAGAUAUAAGUUUGAACCACACUAUAAGGUCCUUCUUUGAAAACCUUGUUGUACUUCAGGGUGUGGAAAAGAAUCUGGACAGAAACUGCACGAGCUCUCGCUAUUAUCCAAAUCUAUGUUUCUUCCCUCAAUAUGCAUUGACAUACAUAACAACACCAUUCUUUAUCUUAAAUUCUGCAUAUGAUGUAUAUCAAUUUCAUCACAUACUGGUGCCACCUUCUGCUGAUUUACGGGGACAUUGGAAUCGAUGCAAGCUUAAUCCAUCUUCAUGUACUCCAAGCCAGAUAACCAUCUUACAAGGUUUCAGAUAUGAAAUGCUUGAAGCUUUGAAAUUCUUCUUUGAAUAUUCAAGAGAAGGUGGAUUAUUCAUAAACUCAUGUUUUUCUCAUUGCCAAAGUGAAUCACAAGACACAUGGCUUGCAGCCGACUCUCCUAGAGUGCACAAUAAGACAAUUUCAGAAGCAGUUGGGGACUGGUAUUUUGAGAGGAACGUCACAAAAGAGAUUGACUGCCCCUACCCUUGUGAUACUACUUGCCACAACAUUAUACCACAGGUUUCAGAGGUGGAAGUGGAUACGGUCGGCAUUCUAUUCAUUCAAAGAUGUUGAGGAUCUAACCAGAUUGAAGUUCAUAGCUCUGCAUUGUUAGAUUUUUGGUGAAAGCAGAAGUAUCCAUUCAGUUUGUCUUAUAAAAGGUGAAAUUACCAAGGCAAUCCAUCAAUUCAGCACUGCAGACAGAAUGCAAUCCACUUCCUUAACACAUGCUCAAAGCUGGAAAGAGCUAAUUUAAGAUUUCCAUUAGCACCAACUCAACUUGGAAUCUCGGAUACAUAUGCUGUACCUGAGCAUGGAGGAAGAAGAACUGAUGGAUGGCUGCUCUGAUGAAGCGUCCAAGCAACACAGCCUGCAACCCUCAUCUCUCAACUUAGCAAAGUUUGGCCAGUAUUGUUAGCAAUGCUGCUUGAAUCUAUACUCAGGUUCUAUUGGAAAGAUGUGCAGUGAUUUCUUCUAUUCACUUGGUCACUUUUCUCUUCUUCCACAACUGCUUCAAUAUAGAAUAUUACUUCCUCAACACCUUAUUCUCGGCAGAUUGUAUUGCAACAGUUCCUCCCUUCACAGCUGCAAUGGGGAGUCUACUUCUCUGCACGAUAGAGCAAAACAAAUUGUGAUUACCUGUAAUGUGGAUAACUGGGCAUGAAAAUCAAUAGGAUAUUGCCUACAUAUGAUUAUAUUGUCAUUAUAUCAUACAAUUAAAUGCAAAACAAAUUUGUUGAAUAAAUACAAAAAAAGUUGAAGAUAUCAA